GAAGAUCAAAGUCACAAUUUGUUAUGGUCAAGGAAAAUAUACCUAAAAUUAUAAUAUAUUAUUUAGUUAUUUUUAUUCUCCAAUCAAAAUAAAUUUCAUUGGAAAAUAUAUAAAGUUACACACCAAGGGUAUUAUUCUCUAGAUCAAGUUUGCCUCCCUUCCACAACCUUAGGAUUCCAAGGAAAGCAUUCUUCAGAUUGCGGUUUUUCCAAACAAGGUCCUGAUUUAUAUAUUUUCCAAUUACAUUGGUACUUGCAUUUAUGUGUAUCUCUGGAUUCAACAUAAAUAUCAAAGUAUUGAAAUUCAUUCAGCCAUGUAAAUCUACAAAAAUAUAAGGUGUUCUCUAACAAAAACUUAGGCCUAAAAGAGAAGGUGAAAGUUUGUCCUAAACGUAGCGAUUGAAACCCAAGAUCAUGAUGUUUAUCUUUACAGUGAAGACCAAGCUGAUCGGUUAUGUUGCUGGUAAUGUAAACAUGUACAUCCUUAGUAUAUAUAGCACUUUGAGUGUCCUGAAACUGUAAAGCAACAAGAAUAGUUAGUAACAUAGAAACUAAUGACACAAUUUUGGAGCUUGAAAUCGUCAUACUUGCACAAUAGACUAAUUGAUACUCUGAUAAUGAACAUAUGACAUAUUUAUAAAGGGGACUUUUUUAUUUUAAAGGGAACUUUUUGAAAAAAAAAACUAUUAAUAUUAAUUAUUUUAAUGUAAAAAAGUUUUCGUUAAAUAAUUUACUUUAAAAUAUUAAUAGAUUUUUUUAUUUAUUUUUAUUUUGCAUUAAUUUGUUGUCAAAUAAAUAUUGAAAAAAAAUUAUUGUGAAAUAUAUAAAAAUUUAAUUUUUAACUAAUGUUUUAUUGUACAACAUUCAAAGUAAAAUCAUAUAUAAUAAAUUAGUAUACAAUAUUUUUACGCUAUUAAUUAAUAUGACUCUCCUCAAUACUAGGAUUAAAUGAGAUCUAUUUUAUUAGUUAAAAUGUAUAUAUGGGGUUCGAUUUCUCGAGUUUUAUUUUUUUUCGUGCAUUUGACAAUAAAUAUAAUAAUAAUCUUUAAUAAGUAAAACAAAAAUAAAGUUAAUUUUUUUUUUUUGAAAUACACAUUAAAAUUCACAAUUUUAUUUCUGUUUACAUGUUGCAAAUUUAUUAAUUGAAUUCAAACAUAAAUUUUCGUGAAUUCAAACAUAAAUUUUAAUUUAUAAUCAAUAUAUAGAAAUAUUUCCAGUCAAUUCAAACAUAAAUUUUAAUUUACAGUCAAUCAAAUAAUAAUAAUUUUAGUUAAUUGGAAGCCCUUGACAAUACAAUCAUUCUGGAAAAACAUGUUAGUAGACUUCCUUAUUCUACAAAAUGAAAUAAUUAAUAAUAUAAUAUAAUAUAAUAUAAUAUAAUAUAAUAUAAUAUAAUAUAAUAUAAUAUAAUAUAAUAUAAUAUAAUAUAAUAUAAUAUAAUAUAAUAUAAUAUAAUAUAAUAUAAUAUAAUAUAAUAUAAUAUAAUAUAAUAUAAUAUAAUAUAAUAUAAUAUAAUAUAAUAUAAUAUAAUAUAAUAUAAUAUAAUAUAAUAUAAUAUAAUAUAAUAUAAUAUAAUAUAAUAUAAUAUAAUAUAAUAUAAUAUAAUAUAAUAUAAUAUAAUAUAAUAUAAUAUAAUAUAAUAUAAUAUAAUAUAAUAUAAUAUAAUAUAAUAUAAUAUAAUAUAAUAUAAUAUAAUAUAAUAUAAUAUAAUAUAAUAUAAUAUAAUAUAAUAUAAUAUAAUAUAAUAUAAUAUAAUAUAAUAUAAUAUAAUAUAAUAUAAUAUAAUAUAAUAUAAUAUAAUAUAAUAUAAUAUAAUAUAAUAUAAUAUAAUAUAAUAUAAUAUAAUAUAAUAUAAUAUAAUAUAAUAUAAUAUAAUAUAAUAUAAUAUAAUAUAAUAUAAUAUAAUAUAAUAUAAUAUAAUAUAAUAUAAUAUAAUAUAAUAUAAUAUAAUAUAAUAUAAUAUAAUAUAAUAUAAUAUAAUAUAAUAUAAUAUAAUAUAAUAUAAUAUAAUAUAAUAUAAUAUAAUAUAAUAUAAUAUAAUAUAAUAUAAUAUAAUAUAAUAUAAUAUAAUAUAAUAUAAUAUAAUAUAAUAUAAUAUAAUAUAAUAUAAUAUAAUAUAAUAUAAUAUAAUAUAAUAUAAUAUAAUAUAAUAUAAUAUAAUAUAAUAUAAUAUAAUAUAAUAUAAUAUAAUAUAAUAUAAUAUAAUAUAAUAUAAUAUAAUAUAAUAUAAUAUAAUAUAAUAUAAUAUAAUAUAAUAUAAUAUAAUAUAAUAUAAUAUAAUAUAAUAUAAUAUAAUAUAAUAUAAUAUAAUAUAAUAUAAUAUAAUAUAAUAUAAUAUAAUAUAAUAUAAUAUAAUAUAAUAUAAUAUAAUAUAAUAUAAUAUAAUAUAAUAUAAUAUAAUAUAAUAUAAUAUAAUAUAAUAUAAUAUAAUAUAAUAUAAUAUAAUAUAAUAUAAUAUAAUAUAAUAUAAUAUAAUAUAAUAUAAUAUAAUAUAUAUAUAUAUAUAUAUAUACUUUGAAAUAUGGAUAGAUUUAUUUUUUUAGUUAGUGAGUUGUUCUCAAAUUAUUAUUGUGCUAUUUUAAUGUGUCGCGUGCGAGAUUGUUAUUAACUUUAUAGGUUAAUUUAUUUUUAAAUAAUUUAUUUGACCUUUGCAUUAAUUUAUUUGACACUUAAUUAGUUUGACUUUUGAAUAUAAAAUAAAUAAUUUAUUUUUAGAGUAAAAUAGAUAUUUUUAUUUAUUUUUUAAUGUGCUUUAAUUUGUUAUCAAAUGAAUAUGUAAAAAAAAAUUAUUUAUUGUGAAAUAUGUAAAUUUUUAAUUUUUAAUUAAUGUUUUGUUGUGCAACAUUCAAAGUAAAAUUAUAUAUAACAAAAUAUAGAAUAGAUUAGUAUAAAACAUUUUUACUUUGUCAAUUAAUCGUAACCUUUCCUCUAUAUUCGGAUUAAAUGAGAUCUAUUUUAUUAGUUAAAAUGUAUACGUGACGUUUCGAUUCCUCGAAGAGUUUUCUUUUCCCGUACAUUUGACAAUAAAUACAAUAAUAAUCUUUAAUAAGUAAAACAAAAAUAAAGUUAAACUAUUUUUUUUUUUUUUGGAAUACACAUUAAAAUUGACAAUUUUAUUUCAGUUUAUACGUGGCAAACUUAUUAAUUGAAUUCAAACAUAAAUUUAAGUCAAUUCAAACAUAAAUUUUAAUUUACAGUCAAUCAAAUAAUAAUUAAAUUAAUUAGAUAAUCAAUAUCAAUCAAAAUAUGAAAUAAAUAAAAAAGAAAGUUAAUGCAUUUAAUAUCAUAUAAAACUCAAGUCAAAUAAAAAUAAAAAUUGUAAUUGUGGCCCAUGAUUUCAACAAUAGAGUUUAAUUUAAGUCAUAAUCAAGUUACUUAUUAAAAAUAAAUAAAAUUCAAAGAAAAAUUAUAUAUCAAAAUUAAAAAAUAAAUUUCAACUUCAUAAUAUUUUAAAAAGGCUCUAAAUGCAGGUCACUUCAAUUUGUAUUUAAUGAGAGAUUAUAAAUUUUAACAAACAAUAUUAAAAAAAUAUGUUUUGAGACAUGUAAAUAAUUAAUUGACUUCACGUAUUCUAUAUUAGAAUCCAACAAUCAAAUAAUCAUAUUGUAAAAGAAAUGACUAUUUUGUUACACCAACAUCCCUUAUAUAUGUUCAUUAUUUUGUAUACUGACUUACAAAAUAUAGAGUUGGACGUCAUAACACAAAAUGAUAUAUAUUUUUAUGAGUGAAUACUAAUUUGUGUUUGACACUGAUCAAUUAUUAUAUUUUAUUUAAUUAUGAAAUUUAUCUAAAAUAUUUCAUAUAAUUUAUGUAAAUUUAUCGUUAUUAGUAUUUGUUUAAUUAAUUUUUUAUUUAAAAAAUUAACAUUACAAGUACAAUCACAAAUACAUAUUUCAUGAGGAGACCUCAUUUAUUUAUUUAUUUAUAUGAAUUCAACUUGUGUAAUCGUGUUUGAAGUGAGGGUCUUAUGUUUGAGUUUGAAGACUGCCUUUGAAGAAUAACUCUGAAAUUGAGUCUGAAGACUGAAUUUGAAACAUGUCUCUGAAGUCCUUCCAUGUCUCUGAUUUGCACAAACUCAACAUGUCUUUGAAAAAUUCAUAUCAAUGUAUAACUAACUCUAAAGAGAUUGUUCAAAUCGUAAAUUCAAAACUCACAAUACGCUGAUCAAAAUGGUGCAACACACUUCAAAUGUUGCUUUUGAUAUGCAACCUCUCUAAUGUUGCACUGACUCUAAAGUUUCAACUAGGUAAUUUUUCCAAUGACAAUAUUUCUAAGUCAUGCAAUGCUGCCUCUGAUUAUCAUUAUUCAAGAAACACAACAUCUCACUCCAACAAGAAAGUCAAUGCCUUUGAUGGAAAGUCAUUGACUGAAAUUGAAAGAAUUAAAAACUUGCGAAGAUCCAAGAAUGACUUGAAUUCAUUCCAACUCAAAUCAAACAAAAGUAUGAAAAAAGAUUUGUGUUUUUGAAGACAAUCUAAAAAAAAGAUUUGAUUCAAAUUUAUUAUUGACGAAAAUCUCUGACAAAGUUUACAAGAAGAUUUGAUCAAGAUUUAUCACAAGAAGAUAUGAAUUAUUUACAAGAACAUUUAAUAAAUAUUUAUCUCCAAGAAGAUACGAAUUACUUACAAGAAGAUUUGAUCCAAAUUUAUCUACAAAGAGAUAUGAAUUAUUUACAAGAAGAUUUGAUCAAUAUUUAUCACAAGAAGAUAUGAAUUAUUUACAAGAAGAUUUGAUCAAGAUUUAUCAACAAGAAGAUAUGUAUUAUUUACAAGAAUAUUUGAUCAAGAUUUAUCUACAAGAAGAUAUGUAUUAUUUACAAGAAGAUUUGAUCAAGAUUUAUCUACAAGAAGAUAUGCAUUAUUUACAAGAAGAUAUGAUCAAGAAUUGUUUGUUUCAAAAAAAAUGAUCAAGAAUUAUUAAUAAGAAGAUACAUUUAUUAUUUGCAAAGAAAUUAUUCAGAUUUUGCAAGGACAAAGAAGAAAUCCUCACCUAUUAUAUAGAUAGAUACUCAAGGCUGAAGAAGAAGAUAAGAGAACUUACAAGCACACAGUUCCUAAGUCAUUAGAGUUCAUAAGGUUCUGGAUUAGAGAAACCAAUUACCUAAGUCAUUAUUACAAUUAGCUUGUUAUAAGCAAAGGGAUUUGUUCCAAAAUCUUGUAACCCAGCCCGAUAAUGGCUUUCAUGUUCCUCAAGAAAACUAUCCAGGUUGUGUUGAGAUGACUUGGCUUGUAGAGUCAAGGUGUUUGUAUUACGCAAAAAGUUUAUAAGUGUUAGUUUUUUUUUAGAAGACUAGCUUGUAGGGUCAGAUGAUGUGUAAUUCAAAUUUUGAAUUAGUGGAUUAAAUUCGUCUGAGUAAGGGGACUGGACGUACCUAUCAAGUUGGUGGUGAACUAGGAUAAAUUUUGGUGUCACUUUAAUUAUGCAAUUCUUGUUUUACUUCUAAUUCUGAUCACUUAACCCGAUUGCUACUACUUUAAUUCUAAGUAAGUCACCAAACCUGAACCAAUUUUAAAUAAUUUAUCAAAAAGGAUCCAACUAAGUCAAACACAAUUCAAUCCCUCUUCUCGUGUUUGCACCUUCACUAAGAACUAGAUGGAAACCUGUCUUGCAUGUCUUAAAUGUCCCAUUAGCCUUUUUGAUAAGGUAUUUCUAGUAGAUUUAGUUUUUAUACCCCUUAAUGGCCUAAACAUUAUCCUAAGGAAGGUUUGGAUGCCAUAAAAGUUUGUAAGCUGGUUUGUCAUUGUAACGAGGUCAUAAUCCCUCCUAAUAUUCUCCAAUUGGAGGAACCAUUAAUUUCUUCCUCAACUCAAAAUGAUUUAAAUUCAACACUUUAAUUCUUUAACAAAUUAACUUUUUAGUUAGGUUUGCAUUUUCUUUUGUAAGUGUUUUUUAGUUUUAAAGAAAUUUUUGAUUCUUAUUUAAAAAAUUAUUUAUAGCAGUAAUUAAAUCAAAUCGAGUAAAGUUAGAAAAUACCUCAAUUUCUUCAUAUGUCAAUCUACUUCCAGGGUCAUAAUCUGUGUUGGAUCCAGAGGUAGAGUUGGUAUGACCAAUUAGAGCCAAAUAUAUUUGUUCAUCGUUAGAGGAUUCAUCAUAAUCAUCCCAUGUAGCCAUAUGACUCUUCUUCUGAGAUCUGGAAUAUUUCCUCUAGUGUUUCCCUUUCUCCAGAUUUGGACAGUCUGACUUGAUAUGUCCAGGUUCAUUGCAUCCAUAGCAAAUAAUGUUUUUCUUGUAAAAAUUUCAUCCUUUCCUCUAUUGGACUUCUUAAGAUCUUUUUGAGGAAAAGAUUUCCUCUUGUUGUGCCACAUCCUCUGAAUUCUUCUAGAUAUGAAGGCAAUUUCCUCUUCAUCUAAGUUCAGAUUCUGAUCAUUUGAAUCACUAUCCUCUGAUUCUAAUGUUUCCUUUAGAACCUUCUUCUCUUUGGAUUUCAAGGCCAGAGUCUUGUUCUUCUUCUUAGGCUCAUAUUCUUCAAGCUCAAUUUCAUGUGAUAUGAGAUUGCUGGUUAAUUCUUCCAGCUUAAGAGUAUUUAGAUCAUUUGCUUCUUGAAUGAUAGUAAUCUUAGAUCUCCACUUUAAUCCUGAUACCAGAGUUUGGAAUAUGAAAAACAUUAUGUGAAUGUCUUCAUCUUCUUCCAUCUCGAACAACUCAUAUUUUUUUGACUGGGAGGUUGGUCUUUACUUCUUGAACUUGCUUGCUUCUUUCAUAGGUCAUAAUCAAACUAUCAUAAAUACUCUUUGUCAAACUCUUUAUUGGUGCACUUGUCAAACUCCAUGAAGGUGAUUGCAUUUAUCAUAAUUGUUCUGGACUUAUGAUGCAUCUUAUACAUUUUCUUUUGAUCAUCAUUCAUCUAUUUUCUUUGAAUUUCAAUACCGUCAGUAUUCUUUGGAGUAGUAUGACCAUAUUCCACCAAGUCCCAAAGUUCAUGAUCUUGUGAAAUAAAUAAACUUCUCAGCCUAUCCUUCAGUACUCAAAAUAUUCUCCAUCAAACAGAGGUGGUCUAUUACUGAAUCAAAUGUCACUAUUUUUUCUCUUUUUUGUUUGUUUGUUUGUUUAUUUGUUAACCUUGAUCAUAAAAACCAAGCCAUAAACACAUAGCUCAAAUUUCUACUUAUUCAAGUGAGUUAGGUCACACCAAGCCUUAAACUCUCAUCCAAAUUCUUCUUGCACUAGAAAAACACAUCUACAUAUAAUAUAAAUCUACUUAAACUCCCCAUUGAUUAAAUAAUUCUUACUAAUAACUUUAUGAACUACAAUAAAUCGAACAAGGCAAAUAAUUAUCAUAUAUAAUUUAACAUUGAAUAAUAUUGAUAUGUUCUAAUUAUUUUAAACAAUAAAUUUAGAGGAUGUUACAAGCAUCAAUUGCUCAAGUACCAUGAUUGGUGCUUUAACUUGAUUCAUGAAGACAUCUACAACACACACCAUUUUGGUUUUAGGUACACAAAUUUGGUUAGGUCUUGGUAUGUUAGGGACAAUAUAAUUUGGAGUGACCUUUAUAAGAGCAAGCAUUACACAAGAUAUCAAAUGGAAUAGGUUUAGGUUCAAUUACAAUUUCUUUAACUCCUAGACCUCUUUUACCAUUUCUACUAUGUCCAUAAAUCAUAGAAGCAUACUUGUUUUAACUUCAGCACUUUGAUUCUUUAAAACAUUAAUUUCUUUAGUUAGGUUUGCAUUUUCAUUCCUAAGUUUUAUAUUUUAAAGACAAUUUUUUAUUCUUGUAGACGUCAUUUAUAACAGUAAUUAAAUCAGAUCGAGUUAAGUUAGAAAAUACCUCAAUUUUUCAUCUGUUGAUUAACUUCUAGAGUCAGAGUUUGUGUGGCAUCUAGAAGUAGAGUUGCAAUGAGCCAUUAGAGCCAAAUCCGCUUGUUGUUCGUCAUUAGAGGAUUCAUCAUAAUCACCCUUUGUAGCCAUCAAACUCUUCUUCGUUAGUUUGGAAUUAUUCCUUUGAUGUUUCCUUUUCUCCAGAUUUGGACAUUGUGAUUGAUAUAUCCAAGCUUAUUACAUCCACAACAGAUACUUAUUUUUAUUUUCAAACUUAUCAUUAUUUCCUAUGCUGAACUGCUUGGAAUAUCUUUGGGGAAAUUUCUUCUUUCUGUUGUGCCACAUCUUCUAAAUUUUUUUGGAUAUGAAAGUCAGUUCCUCUUCCUCUAAGUCUCUAUUUUGAUCCUCUAUAUCAUCAUCCUUUGAUUUUGUUGUUGCCUUCAGUAUUUUCUUCUACUUGGAUUACAAAGUCAAGGUUGGUUGCUUCUUCUUGGACUUAUCCUCUGCAAGUUCAAUUUCAUAUGAUUUGAGAAAGUUGAUUAAUUUUUCAAGCUUAAGAGUAUUAAUAUCCUUUUUCUUCUUGAAUGGCAGUGAUAUUAGGUCUCCACUUGCUUUGCAGACUUCUUAGUAUGUUCUUCACAUGAUUAUAAAUAGUAUAACUUUUCUCAAGUGUCUUGAAUCCUUAUACCAGAGUCUGGAAUUUGGAAAACAUUGUUUCAAUUUCUUCAUCUUCUUCCAUCUUGAACAACUCAUACUUUUUGACUACAAGGUUGACCUUUGCUUAUUGAACUUAUUUGCCUCCUUCUUAGGUCAUAAUCAACCUAUUACAAAUACUUUUUAUUGUCUCCUUGUUGUUUCACUUGUCAAACUCCUUGAAAGUAAUUAUAUUUAUCAUGAAUGUUCUAUACUUAUGAUGCAUCUUGUACAUCUUCUAUUCAUUAUCCAUUUCUUUCCUUAGAAUCUCAACACCAUCGAUAUUGUUUGGAGCAAUAUAACCAUCUUCCACCAGAUCCAAAAGUUUAGGAUCUUGUGAAAUGAAGAAAUUUCUAAGCCUAUUCUUCUAUUACUUAAAAUGUUCUCCAUCAAAUAGAGGUGAUAUGUUGAUGUUUUCUCCAACAGCUUCUUUACUAAAUCCAUACAUGUUGAACCCUUAGAUUAAGCAACCCCCAAGUUUUGAAAGCUCUGAAUUUCCAUACAGUGUUUAAACUUAAGAAAUCAAUGUAUAGUCUAAAAAAAGCACCUAUGGCAUGGUAUGAUAGAUUAAGUAAUUUCUUGCUUAAUAACAAUUUUGAAAAAAGACAAGCAGACACCACCUUGUUUAGAAAAUCAAUAAGAGAUGACAUUCUUAUAAUUUAAAUUUAUGUUGAUUACAUUAUUUUUGGAUAUACUAAUGGAAUUUCAAAUGGCCAUGAUAGGAGAACUGAUGUUCUUCUUAGGGAUACAAAUUCAUGAAAGUUAGAAGGGCAUAUACAUUCCUCAAAGCAAGUAUACAAAAGAGCUUCUCAAGAAUUUUAAGAUGAAUGAUUGCAAAUUAUGGCUACACCAAUGCACCAUAUUUGCUCAUUGGAAAAAGAUGAAUCAGGCCAAAAGGUUGACAAGAAAACAUACAGGGGAGUCAAGUAAUAAAAUCCGAUAAAUUGUUAUAAAAAAUAACAGUUUUUGUCAUUAUCAAAAAAGGGGAGAUUAUAGGAACCAAGUUGGUUUUUCUCUAGUGAUUUUGAUGUUAGCAAAGGUAUUUUAGGAGAAUAGUUUUUUUGGACUAAUGACUUCACUAAGUGUGCAACAAUCAAAACAAGGAAAUCAGAGGAAUGUACCAGAGGAAGCGGCCAAAGGAUGAGAUUAGAGGAACACAAAAGCAUACGCAUUUGCCUCUGAACAUAUGCCUCUAUAAGCAACGUGUCUUUGAAGGUUACAAAGACCGCCUCUAAUGUUUGGCUCUGAUAACUGGGUUUGAAGAUUGCCUAUGAAGAAUAAAUUUGAAGCAUGUCUCUAAAGUCCUUGUGUGCUUCUAAAGUGCACAAAAUCAACAUAACUCUAAAGAGAUUUCAAGCCAUGCAUUCAAAUCUCAUAUUUUGCGAAUCAAAAGUUGUAACACACUUAAAAUGUUACCUCUAAUAUGCAGCCUCUGAUGUUGCACUAACAGUGAUGAUUCAACAAUGUGAUUUUCCCAAAGCCAUUAAUUCUAAGUCACACAAUUCAGCCUCUGACUUUUAUUAUCCAAGAAACAUAGCAUUUCACUCUAACAAGAAAGUCAAUGGCAUUAAUGGAAAGUUAGCGACUCUGAUUGAAAGAAUUCAUUCUGAAGAAAAGACAUAGCUGAAUCAGAAUUUUUGAAUAUUUAAAAAUAAGGUCGAAUUAAUUCUCGCUCCAAUCAAUCAAGAGUAUGAAGUAUUAUACGAGUAAAUAAGUUUUGGAACACAAUAUGAAAUUAUAUUUGAUUCAGAAUUAUAAUUGAAUGGAUUCUUUGACCAAAGUGAAAAAAUGAUAUGGCCAAAAUAUUGUUCACAAGAAGAUGUGGUAAAAAUAUUGUUUACUAGAAGAUAUGGUCAAAAUAUUGUUCACAAGAAGAUAUGGCCAAAAUAUUGUUCAAAAGAAGAUAUGGCAAAAAUAUUGUUCAAAAGAAGAUAUGGUCAAAAUAUUGUUCACAAGAAGAUAUGCUCAUAAUUGGUUUACAAGAAGAUAUGCUCAUAAUUUGUUCAUAAAAAGAUAUGCUCAUAAUUUGUUCACAAGAAGAUACAUUCAAAAUCUGUUCACAAGAAAUAUAUGAUCUAGAAUUGUUUACAUCUGCUUGUGUCACUUAACUUUUGCACUAUUUAUUUUAUUGUUGCCUCUGAUUUCUUAAGCAUGAUUGGUACUAACUAUGUUUUAGUUAAAAUCUCCAAAAUAUCAGAGGAUGCAACGUGAACUCGUAUAGGAUAACCUGAUAUGGAAACUGCACAAUAAAAAAGAACAUUAGUGCAGUAAAUUAUUCACACAAAAUAAUUUUGUUAUCAUUAAAACAAGUAAGGGACAAGAAAGUUGAUAAAGUUAGCAAGAGAAAUUAAUAUGAAAUGGGAGAAAUGACAUUUCCCAUAAAAUUGUUCUCAAAAACAUAUUAUCCUCCUUUUGUCAUCCGACAAAAAGUUUAAGACAAAAAAAUAAAAAAAGACACACAGCAACACAUAAAAAAUACAAGGAACUAUAGAUUUGGGUUGGUCAACCUAGCUAAGAUUAAAUUUAGGGUAGUAUGAAUGUCCUUCUGAUUCUUAGUUGUUUAUUCUAUGAAUGCUUCAGUCUUAACUUCUAGGUGAUCAAAGUCUUGUUUUUUGACAUACAAGGAAGGAUCGAGCACGAGGCCAAAAGGACUGGUAGAUUAACUUCCGAAGGAAAAUUAUGCAGAUCUUGGAGAAGUAGUAAGAGGAGCAUCAAGUGGGUACCUUAAUCUGUGGAAUAAGCAUAUGGAAGUAUUAUAGUGCUGAUGGAGAAACCACUAGAAGUUCCAGAUGAACACCACUUGAAGGAGAUAGGUUGUCCCUUGAUGAGCCCUUUGACGUGGCUGUUAUAAGCUUUUUGGACGAAUUGCUUUGGGCUUUAUAAAGCUACAAGAUGUAGAGUUAUGGGAGGCCAACUACAUUCCAUGAUCCAUGUUGUCCCUUAUCAAGUUGGUGACAAACGAGAGGACCUUGUUCUACUGGCUUGAAACAUGAAUAAGAUUCAAACUUUGAGCAUUCCAAUUAUGGGCUAAAGUGAUUUUGGAAAUAAGAGAAGUAAUGAAUGAGUCGAUGUUUGGGAAGCCUGAAGGAAUGAAGUGUGUGAGUUGACUGAGGCUUAGAGGGAUGGUGGAGGUAGCAUAUUCAAAGUAAAAAGGAGUUGAUGGAGAUGCAAAAGAGUCUUCUAAUGAUGUAUAAGAGACUAAAUCAAUUAUGACUUAAGUUGUUGUGUCAUUUUUUAUGUGUGUGUUUUUGUUAUGGUCGUUAUUAUGUUAGUGGUGUAGAACUAAGUUAGAUUCCCCUUUUUCCCUAAGUGUCUAACUAUAUUCGAUUAGCCUAUUUGAUUUAUGUAGGUAAUGAUGGCUAAUGGAAGGAAUGAAGUUGCAAUUGUUGAGGCUGUAGAGUCCAUGGCAAAAGUUACAAUGCAGGCUCUCCAAGGGUUGGUUGAAUCCCAAGCUACUGCUUAAGCCUCUGCCCAAGUUGCUACUCAAGCUACACGUGUUGCUGCUCAAGCUAGUGCUUAAUCUGGUGGUCAAGGAAAUGUGUAAACAAAUGAGUUCAAGGUGAUGGAUCAAUUCCAUAAGGCUAACCCUCCAUCGUUUGAAGGUAACUAUAACCUAGAUGGAGCUCAGAAAUGGUUGCAAGAGAUUGAGAAAAUAUUCAGAGGAGUGGCAUGUCCCGAAGAUCAAAAAGUGCAUUUGGGAACCUUUCUGUUGAUAGAAGAAGCUAAACAUUGGUGGGCAAUGCUCGUCAACAUUUAGAUAAUACAGAACUGCAAUUAUUUGGGUUAUAUUCAGAAAAAUGUUCGGAAUUUGAUAAAUUUGAACAACAAAAUAUGUUAAUGGCAGAGUACGCCGCUAGUUUGAAGAGUUGUUUAGGUACUAUCCAUUCUACGUUGGAGAGGCAGGAGAAAAGUCUAAGUGCAUCAAGUUCGAAAAUUGUAAUCAGACCAAAAAUCAAGAAGCAGGUGGGAAUGGAAGAGAUCUGUGACUUUCCUACCCUAAUGAAUAAGAGUAGGAUUUAUGAUGAGGAUAUGCGUGUUGAAAAGGUGCAUUUCUAAAACAUUGGACCCGUGAAGGACAAGAAGCCUAUGCAUCANNNNNNNNNNNNNNNNNNNNNNNNNNNNNNNNNNNNNNNNNNNNNNNNNNNNNNNNNNNNNNNNNNNNNNNNNNNNNNNNNNNNNNNNNNNNNNNNNNNNNNNNNNNNNNNNNNNNNNNNNNNNNNNNNNNNNNNNNNNNNNNNNNNNNNNNNNNNNNNNNNNNNNNNNNNNNNNNNNNNNNNNNNNNNNNNNNNNNNNNNNNNNNNNNNNNNNNNNNNNNNNNNNNNNNNNNNNNNNNNNNNNNNNNNNNNNNNNNNNNNNNNNNNNNNNNNNNNNNNNNNNNNNNNNNNNNNNNNNNNNNNNNNNNNNNNNUUCCCUCAUAGUAAAUCUAGAAGUCGUCCGAAUUAUCAACAACAAGGUUCUUCAGUUUGAAGAGGAAAUGGUAAUAAUGAAAUGAAAGGAAACAUAAACAGUUAUAGUUAUGGGGGUGGUAGAGAAAACCCCAAUGAAUGAGGAGUUAGUAACAUGAAUAACAACAACAUAGCCCAAGUCUCGAGCAACAACAGUGGUAAUAAUGGUGAUCCAGCUACUCCUAUCCGAUGUUAUAGGUGUGGUAACCAGAGUCAUAUGGCAUCUGAGUGCAAGGAUGUUGCAAUUACUUAUUUUAAUUAUCAACAACAAGGCCACACAUCUUCAUUGCAUGCCUUAAUCCAAAGAAGACCCCACAACAAGGAAACCAACGUUCCCAAGCCAGGUGACCUAAAUCUAAUGGAAGAGUUUUUCCUCUUAAUAAUGUAGAAGCGUCUGAGAAAGACAAUUUAUCCAAGGUACGUGUCUCAUAAGUGAUACUCCUUUAUUUGUGCUAUUUGAUUGUGUUGCCACUCAUUCCUUUGCGUCUCUUGAUUGUGUUAGAUGUUUAGGACUACUUGUGUCUCAUUUAUAGUAUGAUUUGAUUGUGAAUACCCUUACUAGUAAUUUUGUUGACACCUCUAGUGUUUUUCUUGACAUUCCUAUCCAUGUGUGUGAAAGGGACUUCCGAGUUGACUUAGUGUGUUUACCUUUGCGUCUAGUCGAUGUGAUUUUCAGUAUGGAUUGGCUAUCUGAUAACCAUGUCUGUGUAUAUUUUUUUUUUUAAUAAAACCAUUAAAUUCAUGGAGCCAUAAGAAAAUGAGAAGCCCUGCAAUAUGUCCGCCAACCAAGUGACGGUACUCUAGAAAGUAGAUGCCCAAUUAUAAAUGAUCCUAGCCUAAUUAGAAUUUGAAGAAAAAGUGGUAGUACAACAUGUUCGUAUUGUGUGUGAUUUUCCUGAAGAUGUGAAUAGUUUGCCACUAGAGCGUGAGACUGAAUAGCAUUGAUCUUGUACCAGGUAUUGGAUCCAUAUCCAUGGCACUAUAUAGUAAGAUUGACUUGAGAUUGGGUUAUCAUCAUAUUCGAUUAUAGUUUUCUGAUGUCCCUAAAACUGCCUUUAGGACCCAUUAUGGCCAUUAAGAGUAUUUGGUUAUGCCUUUUGGUAUGACUAAUGCAUCAGCAGUGUAAGGUAGAACACCAAAAACCUUUAGGCUUGAUAUUUUGGAGGCCUAGAAUGAAAAAAAGACGUUGUUGAGUUUGUGUAAGCUUGUUUGAUUUGUUAGAAGUCUAACGUAAAACACCAGAAACUUUCAGGCUUGAUGCAACCUUUGAGUAUUCCCGAAUGGAAGUGGGAUAAUAUCUUUAUGGAAUUUGUUGUAGGCGGGCUUACCUGGAACCCCUAAAAGGUAUGAUAGUAUUUGGGUUAUUGUGGAUAGACUAACUAAAUCUGCUCAUUUUAUCCCAAUGAACAUAACUUAUUUUAUGGAAAAGUUAGUUGAACUAUACAUAUAUGAAAUUGUGAAUUUGCAUGGUGUAACACCUCGAAUUUUUGAACCAAAACAUUACUUAAAAAUACUUAUUGCUUAGAAAAAUUACAACAUUUUUUUUAAUUAUUUAAGUAAGGAUACCUAAAUUACUAUUCAUUUAAUUAAUUAGUAAACCUUAAACCCCAAAACAAUAUACAUAAUAAUUUAUAUUAUAUUUUUACUAAAAUUAACAGCGGAUAAAUAAAAACUCCUUAAAAAAUAAAGAAACAUUUAUGAGUUAUUAAGAUAUCACGUUUCUCAAAAUAUACAUUAGAAUACUUUUGACUUUUUCCUCCUAUAGUAUAGUGCAAUCUCAAUAAACUUGAUUUAACUAUAAUUUCUUAAUUUAAUUCCAAACACUUAGUAAUACUUGUAUGGUUUUCAUACAAAAAUUCGUUUUUAAUUAAAUAAGUUAAAAACAACUUCAAGACUCAUUAACCUGUAAUAACUGCAAUUUCGCAAACACAUGGUCAAACCAAUCAAACACAAACAAUGAAGGAUGUGAGUUUUAAAAUCAUGUUGAUAGUAUAAUAUAAGUAAAUAGAACACGCAAAUAAUCAACACAGAGCCGUAUCAACUACAUCACAAUAUAUCAAAACAUUCAAGGAAGUAAUCAUAUUAUAGAGUCAAAAUCACUUAAGGAAAAUCAAUAUCUCAUCAUAACAUCAACUCAUCUAAGAGAAAUUCUUAUCACAUUAGAUACACAUUAACCACAACAAAACAAUCACAGGAUGGUGCAAUUCUAUAGAUGCUUUUGAUAACUAUAUGAUCUAGAUAUAAUACCUGCCACAAAGAUAACUUCCACAUUGAAAAUCACUCAUAAUAAUGGGGAAAAAUAAAUCUUCCAUGAAGACAACGUAAAUAUUUAAUUUUUAUUUAAUAUUUUUUUGUACAAUAUUCAAGGAAAAAUUACAUGUAACUAAAUAUAAAAUAGAUUAAUCACAACAAGAAAACAAGCAUUUUGUGAGGGCUUUUGCCCUCACAAAGGGGUAUAAUCAGCCACAAAGGUGGCUUUUGUGAGGGCUUUUGGCAGCCACAAAGAAGCUGGUCACAAAAUUUUGUGAGGGCUUUUGCAGCCACAAAGUGCCAGAAACAGGUUGACAUUUGUGAGGGCUUUUGCAGCCACAAAAGAGAGGCAUUUGUGAGGGCUUUUGCAGCCACAAAAGUCUACUUUUGUGAGGGCUUAGGCGGCCACAAAGGACAGACUGAUUUUGAAAUCAACUUUUGUGAGGGCCCAGGCCGCCACAAACUCCCUCCUUUGUGAGGGCUUAGGCCGCCACAAAUGACCUCCAAAUUAAAAAAAAAUAUUUUGUGAGGGCUUAGGUCGCCACAAAAUAUUACGUAUAUUAAAAAAUUAAUUUUUUUAAAUUCAAAAUUAAUUCUGUAUUAUAAUUUUAUAUAUAAUAAAUUAAUAUAAAUAUAAAUUUAAAAUUUAAAUUUAAAUUGUAAUUAAAUUAAAAUUAUAAUUAAAUUAUAAUUAUAAUUAAAUUUAAAAUAUAAUAUCAUUAUAAAAUAAAUUUAAUAUAUAAUAAACUAAUCUGAAUAUAAUUAAAAAUUAAAAUUAAAUUUAAAAUAAAAUAUUUAAAUUAUAAUUAUAAUUAAAGAUUAAUUUAAAUUACAAAUAAAAAAAUUAAAAUUAAAUUAAAAUUUAAAUAAAAUUAAAAUUAAAUAUUAAAAUAAAAAUAAAUAUUAUAUAUAAAAAUAUAAUAUUAAUAAUAAUUAAAUUAAUUACCACAAAAUCAAAUAAAACAUGCAUUCCAAAAUUAACAAAUAAUGUCUUACAAACCCAAAAUUUAUAAAUAAUGUCUUACAAACGCAAAAUUAAACACACAAUAAUUAACUAAGACAACAUAAUUAAUAUGUGUUCAUACAACCCAAAAAUAAAUUAUGAAAUUAUUCAGAUGACAUCAAUCCUCAUAAUAAUUCCUCUGAUCAGCUCCACUCACACCAUCAUUAUGUCCUGCCAUGCCCGACGAAAGAAGUCCCUCAAAAGUAUUAUGAAUUUGUGUUGGAGGAGACAUCAUGGUUUGAAAUUGAAUUUCAUCUUCAAUGGCACCACCACUAGUCGAAUGAGGAGCCCUAGCUGGUUGAGGUUGAUUUAAAUCUGGUCUGAUCAACCCAGCUGUUGGCAUAGUUGGUCGGUAUGCAGUUUGAUGAUCUGGUUGAGGUUGAGGAAUUUGAUGUGAAGAGGACGGAACAUACGGAUAAUUAUGAAAAUAUUGUUGUUGUUGAAACAUUGGCGGCUGCUGCUGUACUUGCUGGAAGGCAGAGUUCGGAGGAUCCUGGUGUUGCUGUUGGAAAUUUGGAGGCGGUUGCUGCUGCUGGGAGUAUUGAGAGUAAUUUUGUUGCUGCUGGAAUAGUGGUUGUUGAGGCAAGUAUUGAGGCCGAGGCGGGAACUGCUGAUGAAACACAGGAGGAAAUGAAAAUUGUUGUUGUUGAAAUUGUUGUUGUUGCUGCUGAAACUGCUGCUGCUGCUCUUGAAACUUUUGUUUCCACUCCUCAUUCAAUUUAUCAAUUGCGGCUUGUAUCAGCUGUUGUGUCUUUUCUUCUUGCUCACUUGCCCAUUGCUUCUUUAACUGGUCAAGAUCAUUAUCUAUCGACGGACGAUGAGAUCGAUCCGUACUAGCAUAAGAAGAAGACGUCUCAGUCUGAAUAUAGCCGGUUGGACCUUUCUUAAAGGUUGAUGAUAAACUACCGGCACCCAGCACACGCCCUUUGUACUUGCCACCACUGAUGUGCAUAAAACUUGCGGUCUCAUAUUGUUUCCGCUGCACUGGACCAGCUCGCUGAGCAGGAGGAAGAGUAGCUUGAUGAUCAUCCCAUUCUUUCAUGAUUUGUUGAAGUUGUUCCUAUAUUAAAAAUAAAAAAAUAAAAUAGUUAAUAAUUAAUAUAUAAUAAUUUAUAGGUCUAAUUAAUAUAUAACAAUUAAUAUAUAAUAAUUACCUGAAUAUUUUUUGAUAAUUCAUCAGUAUACUCAUUUGUUUCAGGAUUAACAUGAAGAUAGCGAUGUAUCUCAGCCUGAGUGACCUCCCUUCCAAGUUGCUUUUCCUAAAAUAUUAAAUUAAUGUCAAGUUUAUAAGUUGGUGAAAUGUGAUGAUUAAUUGAAUAUAAAUUAAUAGAUAUAUAUUAUAAAUAAUAAUAAAUUACCAUAUAAUAUUUAAUUUCUCCAGCAGACAUGGAACCUCCCUUAUGAGUACUGGUACCCCUCUCAGAUGCUCUAUUAGUCUUUGCUUUUUCUCUCUUCUGUUUGUAAGCAUCUGUGUUCCAUUUCCUCCACAAAGCAGUCCAAACAUUUUCACCAAUCCAAUUAGGCCGUUUUUCCUCCCCCUUAUUACGUGCGUAAGCCAACAUAGAUGAGAGACGCUUUGAAAAGCGAUGGUCAAAUGAAGCCAAAACUGCGGCAUCAUGCUCUCUUUUCCAAGUGCAUUUGGUCUGUUGUUUGUUGAAAUUUAAAAAAUAUUAAAAAUAUAAUUAGUAAUUCAGUAAAUUAAUCAAAUGUAUAAAUAAAUAGUAAUUAAAUAAAUUAAUCUAAUGACUUACUUUGAAACAAUGUAAAAACUGAUCAACUUCCCUAAUUUGAGGUGUCUUAUCCUCUUUUAUCUCACCCCAAGACAACCAUGGUUUUUUAUAUUUCUCUUGUAUGACUUCAGCAAUUGCCUUUGCAGAUGAUUUAAAAGGAAGAUAUCUUCAAAGUUUAUAUGCAAAUUAAAUAUAAAAAUAAAUUAAUAAAAUUAAUAAUGUAUUUACAUUGCAAUAAUAAUGAAAUAUUUAAUCAAUCAUAGUUUACAUACCCAUCUCCUUCUGGAAUGAUGACAAUGCGGUUGUAGCAAUCAACACAUCCGGGAUCCAUUAUUUCGUCUAAGGUAUAAGGCUCUACUGGGACCUCCGGAUAUAGAGGAAUAGCUCCACCACUAGUACCAAUGGACGGCAUCGGCAUGAGAGAUGGGUCAUUAACAACACGUUUAGCAACUUUUUUCUUACCACGUGAUGUUUUGGAUAUUCCUCGUAUUGCCGCCGUUCCUGUUCCUCCCGAUCCAUCCGAACCUCCUGAUCCUCCUACUCCCGACACUGAAGCCAUGUCUAUAUAUAUAUAUAUCCAUAUCCAUACAUAUAUAUAAUAUAAUAUAUGUGUGUAUACAAUUAACAUAAGAUUAAUUAAUAAUGAAAUAUACAUAAAUAAAUUAUAACACUGACAUAAAUAAAGAAAUAUAUAUAAAAUAUAAAAAUAUAUAUAUAAGGUGUCGUUCAUUUCAAUUACAAUAUAUAAUAUUAUAGAUAUAGAAACACACAUAUAUAUAUAAUUAAUUAAUUGUCUUCGUCUUCGUCUUCGUCAUCAUCGUCGUCGUCAUUUGAUGAGUGAAUUAAGUCAUUGCCUUCAUCAUUCUCUAAUUCAUCUAUUUCUUGUUCAUCAACUUCUUCUCCAAUGUGUGACUCAUGACAAAGUUGACUAAUAGUCUCAUCUCCAAUCACAUGAUCCAAAUUUGACAUUUCAUCCAUUUGAAAUGCAACUUCUUCAUUUUGACCUGCUUCAACUUCUUCGAUUCCACUCGUUGGUCUUGUUUUGAUUGCAGCACACCAACCUUGUUUGCUUCUGACAGUUGAUGGAUAAGGAACAUAAUAGACUUGUCUUACAUUAUGGGCCAGGGCAAAUGGAUCAAACCGUGGAUAUUUUUUGCUCAUACGAAUGUCUACAGUAUUGGAUAUCAAAUUUAUUUUAGUUCCUCUGCUAGAUGGAUCAAACCACUUACAGUAAAACAACACCACUUUUUUCGCAUAAUCUAGGAACGUGUAGUCAAUUUCGUAAAUAUGCUCAAUUAUGCCAUAGAAAUCUUCUACUACACCACUAUCAGAGACACUUUUCAUACAAACUCCACUAUUAAUUGUUUCUUUUCCUUCAGUCCAAGAUUCAGUGUGAAAUUUGUAUCCAUUGACGUAAUAGGUAUGCCAUUCUUUGAAACUUCUACUCGGGCCCAUAGAUAAGUGCCUUAAGUGGAUGUUGAUAGGAGUUUGUUCUUCGAGAUGCACUUGUUGUUGAAACCAUAAUGGGAAAUUUGAAUGUAUAUCAUCAGAUGAUUGUCCCGUAUUUAAAAAUGCCCUGAUCGAUGACCAUAUAUAUGGUGAAUAUCAAUUUAAUCAUAUAAUUAAAUAUAAUUAAUAUGAAGAGAAAUUUGAAACGUACUCAAUCUAUGGUUUAACUUUGGUGCAGUUAAUCAAAACGUGAACAUGUGCCGCAUUAAAUACUUUGUCGCUUGGCCAGAAAAUUGGAAAGUCCCUACCAGCAUGAUGACCAGACAAGCAAAAAACUGAUAAAGCAUGUAGAUGACGUAUAACACUAUCAGUAGCGUUUCUUCUGUUAACUGGUGACAACGUUUCGUUGUUGAAAUAAUGAGAACAAAAGUAUGUUGUUUCACGGUGAAGGUAAGAUGAACAAAUUGAGCCCUCAACUCUAGCUUUGUUUUUCACCGACCGUUUUGAAUAACCCAUGAACCUAUAAUAUACAAAGAUGUACAAUAAGCUCCAUGUAUAUAUAAGUUGAAGUAUAUUGAAAAUCAAGUAUAUGUAUAUAUAUAUCACCUUUCAAAUGGAUACAUCCAUCUAUACUGAACUAGUCCACCAAGCCUAGCUUCACUUGCAAGAUGCACUGAGAGAUGCUCCAUGGAAUCAAAAAACCCAGGAGGAAAUACUUUCUCCAACUUACAUAGAAUGAUCGGAAUGUCAUUUUCCAUCUUGAUGAGAUCUUUAUCAUAGAGUGUUGAAGAACACAAAUUCUUGAAAUAUUGACUCACUUCAAUAAGUGGGUUCAAUACAUGUGUCGGUAAAGCACUAAAGGCAAUAGGAAGUAAACACUCUAAAAAUAUAUGACAAUCAUGACUUUUCAUCCCAUGCAUCCUCCCAUUUUCCACAUCAGCACAUCUUGCCAAAUUAGAACAAUAACCGUCAGGCGUCUUCAGCUCUUUGAUCCAACGAUAAACAGAUUUGGCUUCAUCAGUAGAUAAAGUGUAAUUCGCACGAGGUUUUAGGGUCUUGCCGUUUUGUUCCACCAACAACAAAUCUGGUCGUCUGCAAUAUAUACCUAUGUCUUUUCUGGCUUUGUCAUUAUCUUUUGUUUUUCCUUUCACAUUCAUCACAGUAUUAAAUAUGUUGUCAAAGAAAUUUUUCUCAAUAUGCAUUACAUCGAGAUUAUGUCUCAAAAGAUUAUCUUUCCAAUACGGUAGAUCCCAAAAAAUACAUCUUUUUGUCCAAUUGUGCCAUUGUCCAUAACCUUGUGGUUUACAGGCCACACCAUUAACAACAUGUACCUUUGGCAUAUCUUUUACUUUAUUCCAAACUUGUUCUGAUGUCAACUUAAGCGGGGGUCCUAGACUUUCUGCAUAGCCCUUCAUAAAUGCAGCUUUGUUCCUUCUAAAUGCAUGAUCAGCAGGUAAAAACCUACGAUGCGAGUCAAACCACGAUGCUUUCCCGCCAAAUUUUAAAGUAAAUGCUUUUGUAUCUUCCAUACAAAUAGGACAAGCUAAUUUACCAUGGGUGCCCCAUCCUGACAACAUCCCAUAAGCGGGGAAAUCAUUAAUGGUCCACAUCAAUGCAGCUCUCAUCAUAAAAUUUUCUCUCCGAGCAAUAUCAUAUGUCAAGACACCAUUCCACAACCUCUUCAAAUCGUCAAUCAAAGGUUGUAAAAAAAUAUCAAUACCAGUUGUAGGAUUAGAAGGACCUGGUAUCACAGCAGCUAAGAACAUAUAAGGUUUAGACAUACACAUAUUAGGAGGAAGAUUGUAAGGAGUAACAAUAACCGGCCAACAAGAAUAAGGAGUAGACGAUGCUUGUAUGUACGGCGUAAAUCCAUCUGAGGAUAAUCCAAGUCUUACAUUGCGUGGAUCUGACGCAAAAUCAGGAUGCAUUUGAUCAAAGUGUUUCCAUGCCUGACCAUCAGACGGAUGUCGCAACUCGCUUGAAUUUCUUCUAUUCUCAUAAUGCCACGUCAUAUUUCCUGCAGUUUGUAUUGAUGCAAACAAUCUCUGCAAUCUUGAUACAAUAGGUAGGUAAAACAUUGCUUUCCUUGGAAUUGAUUUUCCCCUACUUACCCUAGAGUUAUUCCUUUGGUGAUACCUUGGUUGUUGACAAAAUUUGCAUUCAACUAAGUUAGCAUCAUUCAUACCAAAUUCAUUGUCAUAAUACAACAUGCAACCUUUAACACAACAAUCAAUCCUCUUGACACCUAAUCCUAACUUUGACACUAACCGUUUCGCAUCAUAAUAACUUUGCGGCAAACCAUCUCUAACAGGUGUUGCAUCUAGCAUCAUUUUAGUCAUGAAAUCCAAAGCUAAAUCAGGAACAUGAAAUUGAGACUUUAGACCUAAUAGUCUAAUACACAUUGAUAACUUUGAGUUUGAAGAACCUUCAAACAACGGUUUAUUUGUCUCUUUCAAAAGACCAUAAAAUCUCUGAGCUUCUUCAUUGGGAAGUCCAUCGGUAUCGUCAUAUUGAUCUUCAUUGAAUGACAAAUUAACCCCAACAGCAUCCGAGAUCAUAUCAUUCAUCGCCUCAAAGUGUUGAUAGUUAUAAUAAUCUAUACCUAACAUGGUAGUACUACUUGAAGGACCUGUGUUAUAAUUCUCCAUAGAUGUACUAGUAUUAGGCGCCGCUGGAGACUCUUCUCCAUGAUUAGUCCAAAUCCAGUAGUUAGGCAUAAAUCCAUCUGCAUACAAAUGCACUCUUAUUUCAUCUUCACUUUUAAACCGUCUACAUCGACAUAAACAACAUGGACAUCUCAUUCCCCCUUCAUCUUGGACAAUUUGUUGCACUCUCGCAAAAUUCAGAAAGUCUUCAACCUUGUUAGCAAAACGUUGUUUAAGACCCUUUCUUCCAGGAAAAUUCCUAUCGUACAUCCAACUACGGUAUAAAUCCAUAUAUAUAUAUAUAUAUAUAUAUAUAUAUAUCUGUGUGUGUGUGUGUGUGUGUGUGUAUAUAUAUAUGUAUAUGUUUAUUCUAAAAAUUAAAUAAAUAUAUAAAUUAUGUGCAUAUAUAUUUAUAUAUAUAUCGAUGUUUUAUAUAUUAAUUGCUUUAUUUUUCAAAAGCAUUAUAUAUAAAUUUUGACAUAUUUAUAUGUCAAUUAGGGGAGCAUGCAUCUGCACACAAUAUAAUAUAUUAUUACCAAUACAAUAAAUAUAUAUAAACCGAAAUAAAAUUAUAUAUAUAUAUCAAUACAAUAUAAUAUAUUAUUAUCAAUACAAUACAAUAAUAUAUAAUAUAUUAUUAUCAAUAUAAUAUAUAUAUCAAUACAAUAAAUUAUAUAUAUCAAUACAAUAAAUAUAUAUAAACCUAUAUAAAAUUUUAAAUGAUGUUUUUUUAAAAAUCAAGACUAAUAAUCAAGACUUAUUUAUAACAAAAAAUAAUAAUAUCAUCAAUUUUAAUAAUGUUUUUUUAAAUAAUAAUUAUAUUAAAACUAAUAUAUUUUAACCGUGGUUUGAAACUUUAAUUUAUCAUAUAUUAAUAUGUAAACAACAUCAUUUCUAUUUUUUUAAAAAUAAAUUUAUAAAACUAAUCUAAAUAUAAAUAUUACUAAUCUAUAUUUUAAAAAUAAUAUAUAUAUUUACUAAUCUAAAUUUAAAAUAUAUAAAAUACUAACUUGAUGCCGAGUAGCGUCUGACUUCAAGCUUUCACUCACGUACGAUAUGCUUGCAAGUCUUCGAAAUAAUUAACAAGCACUGUAAAAAUAAAAAUCAAUAACAUUAAUUAGUUAUAUCAAAUUAAAAAAUAAAAUUAUAAAACUACAUAUAUAAUAUAAUUAUACUUACCAAAUUUAAAUGAAGCUUAAGAGUAAUUUUGUGUAGAGAGAAGGAGGAGAGAAUGGUUAGAAUGAGGUUGUAGAGAGAAGUUGGAUGUGAAAAAAUGAAGGAGGAGGGGAGAAAAAUAUAUAUAGAUUCAGGUUGAGCAUUUGUGGCGGCUAAAGCAGCCACAAUGCCAACGGAUAUAUUGAUAUUUGUGGCGGCCUGGGCGGCCAGAAAAGCCAACGGCUAUAAUGCCAUUUGUGGCGGCUUUUGCCGCCAGUAAUUCUAACGGUAAAAUGCUUUGUGACGGCCUUUUCCGCCAGUAAUUGGGCCUCCAUUUGUGGCGGCCUUUGCCGCCAGUAAUGCCAACGGUACAAUCCUUUGUGACGGCCUAAGCGGCCACAAAAUCCAGCUGGAUUGGGCCUCCUUUGUGGCGGCCUUUGCAGCCACAAAUGCCACGUGCGCGUUCCUUUGUGGCGGCCUUUGCAGCCACAAAUGCCACGUGCGCGUUCCUUUGUGGCGGCCUUUGCAGCCACAAAUGCCACGUGCGCGUUCCUUUGUGGCGGCCUUUGCAGCCACAAAUGCCACGUGCGCGUUCCUUUGUGGCGGCCUUUGCAGCCACAAAUGCCACGUGCGCGUUCCUUUGUGGCGGCCUUUGCAGCCACAAAUGCCACGUGCGCGUUCCUUUGUGGCGGCCUUUGCAGCCACAAAUGCCACGUGCGCGUUCCUUUGUGGCGGCCUUUGCAGCCACAAAUGCCACGUGCGCGUUCCUUUGUGGCGGCCUUUGCAGCCACAAAUGCCACGUGCGCGUUCCUUUGUGGCGGCCUUUGCAGCCACAAAUGCCACGUGCGCGUUCCUUUGUGGCGGCCUUUGCAGCCACAAAUGCCACGUGCGCGUUCCUUUGUGGCGGCCUUUGCAGCCACAAAUGCCACGUGCGCGUUCCUUUGUGGCGGCCUUUGCAGCCACAAAUGCCACGUGCGCGUUCCUUUGUGGCGGCCUUUGCAGCCACAAAUGCCACGUGCGCGUUCCUUUGUGGCGGCCUUUGCAGCCACAAAUGCCACGUGCGCGUUCCUUUGUGGCGGCCUUUGCAGCCACAAAUGCCACGUGCGCGUUCCUUUGUGGCGGCCUUUGCAGCCACAAAUGCCACGUGCGCGUUCCUUUGUGGCGGCCUUUGCAGCCACAAAUGCCACGUGCGCGUUCCUUUGUGGCGGCCUUUGCAGCCACAAAUGCCACGUGCGCGUUCCUUUGUGGCGGCCUUUGCAGCCACAAAUGCCACGUGCGCGUUCCUUUGUGGCGGCCUUUGCAGCCACAAAUGCCACGUGCGCGUUCCUUUGUGGCGGCCUUUGCAGCCACAAAUGCCACGUGCGCGUUCCUUUGUGGCGGCCUUUGCAGCCACAAAUGCCACGUGCGCGUUCCUUUGUGGCGGCCUUUGCAGCCACAAAUGCCACGUGCGCGUUCCUUUGUGGCGGCCUUUGCAGCCACAAAUGCCACGUGCGCGUUCCUUUGUGGCGGCCUUUGCAGCCACAAAUGCCACGUGCGCGUUCCUUUGUGGCGGCCUUUGCAGCCACAAAUGCCACGUGCGCGUUCCUUUGUGGCGGCCUUUGCAGCCACAAAUGCCACGUGCGCGUUCCUUUGUGGCGGCCUUUGCAGCCACAAAUGCCACGUGCGCGUUCCUUUGUGGCGGCCUUUGCAGCCACAAAUGCCACGUGCGCGUUCCUUUGUGGCGGCCUUUGCAGCCACAAAUGCCACGUGCGCGUUCCUUUGUGGCGGCCUUUGCAGCCACAAAUGCCACGUGCGCGUUCCUUUGUGGCGGCCUUUGCAGCCACAAAUGCCACGUGCGCGUUCCUUUGUGGCGGCCUUUGCAGCCACAAAUGCCACGUGCGCGUUCCUUUGUGGCGGCCUUUGCAGCCACAAAUGCCACGUGCGCGUUCCUUUGUGGCGGCCUUUGCAGCCACAAAUGCCACGUGCGCGUUCCUUUGUGGCGGCCUUUGCAGCCACAAAUGCCACGUGCGCGUUCCUUUGUGGCGGCCUUUGCAGCCACAAAUGCCACGUGCGCGUUCCUUUGUGGCGGCCUUUGCAGCCACAAAUGCCACGUGCGCGUUCCUUUGUGGCGGCCUUUGCAGCCACAAAUGCCACGUGCGCGUUCCUUUGUGGCGGCCUUUGCAGCCACAAAUGCCACGUGCGCGUUCCUUUGUGGCGGCCUUUGCAGCCACAAAUGCCACGUGCGCGUUCCUUUGUGGCGGCCUUUGCAGCCACAAAUGCCACGUGCGCGUUCCUUUGUGGCGGCCUUUGCAGCCACAAAUGCCACGUGCGCGUUCCUUUGUGGCGGCCUUUGCAGCCACAAAUGCCACGUGCGCGUUCCUUUGUGGCGGCCUUUGCAGCCACAAAUGCCACGUGCGCGUUCCUUUGUGGCGGCCUUUGCAGCCACAAAUGCCACGUGCGCGUUCCUUUGUGGCGGCCUUUGCAGCCACAAAUGCCACGUGCGCGUUCCUUUGUGGCGGCCUUUGCAGCCACAAAUGCCACGUGCGCGUUCCUUUGUGGCGGCCUUUGCAGCCACAAAUGCCACGUGCGCGUUCCUUUGUGGCGGCCUUUGCAGCCACAAAUGCCACGUGCGCGUUCCUUUGUGGCGGCCUUUGCAGCCACAAAUGCCACGUGCGCGUUCCUUUGUGGCGGCCUUUGCAGCCACAAAUGCCACGUGCGCGUUCCUUUGUGGCGGCCUUUGCAGCCACAAAUGCCACGUGCGCGUUCCUUUGUGGCGGCCUUUGCAGCCACAAAUGCCACGUGCGCGUUCCUUUGUGGCGGCCUUUGCAGCCACAAAUGCCACGUGCGCGUUCCUUUGUGGCGGCCUUUGCAGCCACAAAUGCCACGUGCGCGUUCCUUUGUGGCGGCCUUUGCAGCCACAAAUGCCACGUGCGCGUUCCUUUGUGGCGGCCUUUGCAGCCACAAAUGCCACGUGCGCGUUCCUUUGUGGCGGCCUUUGCAGCCACAAAUGCCACGUGCGCGUUCCUUUGUGGCGGCCUUUGCAGCCACAAAUGCCACGUGCGCGUUCCUUUGUGGCGGCCUUUGCAGCCACAAAUGCCACGUGCGCGUUCCUUUGUGGCGGCCUUUGCAGCCACAAAUGCCACGUGCGCGUUCCUUUGUGGCGGCCUUUGCAGCCACAAAUGCCACGUGCGCGUUCCUUUGUGGCGGCCUUUGCAGCCACAAAUGCCACGUGCGCGUUCCUUUGUGGCGGCCUUUGCAGCCACAAAUGCCACGUGCGCGUUCCUUUGUGGCGGCCUUUGCAGCCACAAAUGCCACGUGCGCGUUCCUUUGUGGCGGCCUUUGCAGCCACAAAUGCCACGUGCGCGUUCCUUUGUGGCGGCCUUUGCAGCCACAAAUGCCACGUGCGCGUUCCUUUGUGGCGGCCUUUGCAGCCACAAAUGCCACGUGCGCGUUCCUUUGUGGCGGCCUUUGCAGCCACAAAUGCCACGUGCGCGUUCCUUUGUGGCGGCCUUUGCAGCCACAAAUGCCACGUGCGCGUUCCUUUGUGGCGGCCUUUGCAGCCACAAAUGCCACGUGCGCGUUCCUUUGUGGCGGCCUUUGCAGCCACAAAUGCCACGUGCGCGUUCCUUUGUGGCGGCCUUUGCAGCCACAAAUGCCACGUGCGCGUUCCUUUGUGGCGGCCUUUGCAGCCACAAAUGCCACGUGCGCGUUCCUUUGUGGCGGCCUUUGCAGCCACAAAUGCCACGUGCGCGUUCCUUUGUGGCGGCCUUUGCAGCCACAAAUGCCACGUGCGCGUUCCUUUGUGGCGGCCUUUGCAGCCACAAAUGCCACGUGCGCGUUCCUUUGUGGCGGCCUUUGCAGCCACAAAUGCCACGUGCGCGUUCCUUUGUGGCGGCCUUUGCAGCCACAAAUGCCACGUGCGCGUUCCUUUGUGGCGGCCUUUGCAGCCACAAAUGCCACGUGCGCGUUCCUUUGUGGCGGCCUUUGCAGCCACAAAUGCCACGUGCGCGUUCCUUUGUGGCGGCCUUUGCAGCCACAAAUGCCACGUGCGCGUUCCUUUGUGGCGGCCUUUGCAGCCACAAAUGCCACGUGCGCGUUCCUUUGUGGCGGCCUUUGCAGCCACAAAUGCCACGUGCGCGUUCCUUUGUGGCGGCCUUUGCAGCCACAAAUGCCACGUGCGCGUUCCUUUGUGGCGGCCUUUGCAGCCACAAAUGCCACGUGCGCGUUCCUUUGUGGCGGCCUUUGCAGCCACAAAUGCCACGUGCGCGUUCCUUUGUGGCGGCCUUUGCAGCCACAAAUGCCACGUGCGCGUUCCUUUGUGGCGGCCUUUGCAGCCACAAAUGCCACGUGCGCGUUCCUUUGUGGCGGCCUUUGCAGCCACAAAUGCCACGUGCGCGUUCCUUUGUGGCGGCCUUUGCAGCCACAAAUGCCACGUGCGCGUUCCUUUGUGGCGGCCUUUGCAGCCACAAAUGCCACGUGCGCGUUCCUUUGAGUCUUCGAAAUAAUUAACAAGCACUGUAAAAAUAAAAAUCAAUAACAUUAAUUAGUUAUAUCAAAUUAAAAAAUAAAAUUAUAAAACUACAUAUAUAAUAUAAUUUAUACUUACCAAAUUNNNNNNNNNNNNNNNNNNNNNNNNNNNNNNNNNNNNNNNNNNNNNNNNNNNNNNNNNNNNNNNNNNNNNNNNNNNNNNNNNNNNNNNNNNNNNNNNNNNNNNNNNNNNAUUUGUGGCGGCCAAAGCAGCCACAAUGCCAACGGAUACAUGACGUUUGUGGCGGCCUGGGCGGCCAGAAAAGCCAACGGCUAUAAUGCCAUUUGUGGCGGCCUUUGCCGCCAGUAAUUCCAACGGUACAAUCAGUUGUGAAGGCCUAAGUGGCCACAAACUCCAGCUGGAUUGGGUCUCCUUUGUGGCGGCCUUUACAGCCACAAAUGCCACGUGCGCGUUCCUUUGUGGCGGCCUUUGCAUCCACAAAUGCCACUUGUCCCGUCUGCCUUUGUGACGGAUUUGGCCCUCACAAAAUUAAUUUUUUGUGGCUGUAAAAGCCCUCACAAAAUCCUUAAAUAUUUAACUGGAUUUUGUGGCUGCCUAAGCCCUCACAAAAUCACAAUGUUGUGAUUUUGUGAGGGCUUAGGCAGCCACAAAAUCCAGUUAAAUAUUUAAAAAUUUGUGAGGGCUUUUUCAGCCACAAAUAAAGACCAAUUUCAAUUUUGACAUCUGCGAGGGCUUUUUUGGUCACUAAUUUGUGAGGGUUUUAUUCGGCCACAAAAUAUUUAUAAAGUUGGCCACAAAAUGGUGUUUUUCUUGUAGUGAACUUCCACAAAUAUGCAUAUGUCGUGACAUGGUGGUGCAUUAUCAAAAAUAAAAUAUUCCUACACAGCCUACUAAGAUUAGGUCAAAUGAUCCAAAAAUAACUAAUAUGAAAUCAUCACCUUAUUCAAAUAUCACUAAGAUCAUAUAUCACAGGUUCUUGUCAUAAAAUCAAAUAUUCAUAAACAACCAUCAUAAAAUGAAAGCUCCCACUCCACAUAUCAUGAAGAUCAUAUAUUCAUAAGAAACUAUCACAAAGAUCAAAGCUUACACUGCACAUAUCAAGAAAUCAUAUAUUCAUAAAAGUAUCAUAAAAAUUAAAACUUUAAUUUGUUAUAUCAAAAAAAUUUAAUAUACUCAUGAAAUCAAACAUUCUCUCACCCCUUACCUUUUUUGGUCACUUUCAAACGUGAAUACGAGUCUGCAAGAAAAAAGUCUUUGUUCUUUGACUCAUUGUCCUUCAAUGAUCUAACUCGACAUUUUAUGGGUAAAAUUCAAAAAUAAAUUAUAAAACUACACUCUAAAAAGGUCAAUUUCGAAAUUUAAUCAAGUAAACUUACCCUAAAUCUAAAAAUAAUCAUAGGAUAAUAUAGUUGUCAUUCACACGGUCGUUUUGACGUUUGUUUCACUCAAAUUAGACUUACAGUGAAGAAGAACGAUGCAAAAUAAAUAAUUUAAAAAACAGAGAAGUCAAAUAUUUUAGAGAGGAAUUGAGAUGGUUAAAAAUAUGAUAAAGUGUGUUUAAUUGACUAGUUAAAUGAAUGAAACAACAUAUUGAAUAUGGACUUAACCCAUAAAACACAUCUUACUCAUUUUUUUUUUUUUUAUAAAUAAAACCAACAAUUACCAAAACUCAUUUUUUUAACAUUUCUAUAAACAAUUUCAUUACUAAGAUAUUACUAAUAUUUUAUAAAAUAAAGUAAUUAACUUUUUAAAAAUAUAGUAGUAAUAACUACAAUCCUCAUACUUAUAAUUAUUACCACAAUUAUUAAAUUAUUAUUUAUGAAGAUACUUACAUUAAAUAUUACCAUCUUUAACGAGAUAUAAAAUAUAAAAUAAAUAAAGAUAAUAUCAAUAAUUUACAUUAAUUACUAAAUCAUAAUCUAUACGUAUAAAAUCAUCAUAUCAUGUUAACUAUAUAAAAAUAAAGGAAAUCAAUAUCAGUGCUACUAAUAUAUCAAAAUAAUUAUUUAUAAAAUAAAUAAUUAAAAUGAUUUUAUAUUUAAAAAUAAUUAAAUAUGAUUAAGGGCCGAUUUAACAUUAGUCAAUGCACAAAAAAAUAUCACAUUAAUUACGAAUGCACUUGUAGGCGUAAAAUAACCUAAAAUUUUAUUUUUUAUAAUAUUACAAUAAAGUACUAUUAUUUUUAGAAAAAUAUAUAAAAUAAUAAAAUAUAAUUUUUGUUAUUGAUAUUACUCAUUUAAGUUAAUAUGUACAAAACCAACAGAUAAUGGGAAACACCCAUAUAACGAUAGUUAAUCACAAAAUCUAUCAACACAUAUUAUAAAGUAAUUUUAAAAUUAAGUAAAUUAUUUAAAAUCCUAUUUAAUUAAUAAAAUAGUUUAUUAUAAAAUUUGGGAUGUUACACAUUAGACUUCAUCAAAUAUAGUGUCAGAUAAAGACCCAAGAUUUACCUCUAAGUUUUGGGAAAGUUUACAGAGUGCUUCAGGUACAAACCUUAGGAUGAGUUUAGCCUACCACCAGCAAACAGAUGGUCAGACUGAACGAACCAAUCAAUCCCUAAAAGACUUAUUGAGAGCUUGUGUGUUGGAGCAGAAUGGAAGUUGGGAUAGCUUUUUACCACUUAUACCAUUCUAGCAUUUGCGUGGUCACUUUUGAGGCGUUGUAUCGAAGAAGGUGUAUAACCCCUCUAUGUUGGUUUGAGAUUGAGGAUAACCUUGUAUUAGGACCUAAGGUUGUUCAUCAGACAACUAAUAGAGUGAUAACAAUUUAGGAAAAGAUGAAAACAUCUCAAAGUAGGCAAAAGAGUUACCACAAUAAAAGAAGGAAAAACCUUGAGUUUCAAGAGGAUGAUUAUGUAUUUCUGAUAGUUACUCCAACAAAUGGGGUUGGACGAGCGUUAUAAAUGCGAAAGCUUACUCCUAGGUGUAUAAUCAAAUUCUUAAAUAUGUCAGUAACGUAGCAUAUCAGAUCGCGUUGUCCGUGUCUCUUUCUAACCUUCAUAGUGUCUUUCACGGGUCCAAAUCCGCAAGUACAUUUAUGAUCCUUCACAUAUGAUUAAGUUACACGAGGUCCAAAUAAAAGAGAAUCUAACUUUUAAGACAUUAUCGCUACGAAUUGAGGAUCGAAGAUCAAGGAAUUAAGAGGUAAGACGAUUAUGUUGGUUAAGAUUGUCUAGGAUUCAUAUCCGGAGUUGUUUUCUUCAGCUAAAUUUUGAGGACGAAAUUUCUUCAAAAGAGGAGAAAUAUAACACUCCAAUUUCUUAUUAUUAUAUUUUAAUAGUAUAAUGAUACACUACUAUUAUUAUAUGUGUGAUAAUUUUAUUAAUGUUUGUCUUGUGUGUUUGUCUUAGUAAUUUAUUUAAAUCAUUAAUAUUAACUAUAUUUAAUUUGCUUAAAAAAAAAAAGAAGGAUCUUUUUAGAAGGGAAACUUGCAUUAAAUCAGUUGGCAUUUCACACAUGAGUUUUCCAACAUUUAGAAUGUCAAUUUUUUUACUAAAGAUGUAAGCUCGUCAAGUUUGCCUUCUAAAUUAUUGUGGGAAGAAGCUUGAAUUUCAUUCACACCCCUUGUCAACAUUGUUGAAUUGCUUCUAGUUGUAAACUGCUGAGAAUUAAUGGACAUGUUCUCAAUCAAAGUCUUUGCCGCUUCUGGGGUCUUAUCGACAAGUGAAUAUCGAUCUAACAACUGAAAUAUUAAUUUAUUUUAUUUUGGAACAUAAAUGAAUAUCGAUCUAACAACUAAAAUAUUAAUUUUGCAAAUAAAUAAAUAAUAUUUUAAUAAUUUGCAUUACGUCCUUUUACAACAACAAAAAAAUCAAGUCAUUUUAUGACGCAUAUUCAAUUUAUUACAUGAUGAACUACUCCUAAGAAAAAAAUCAUAGUUGUUUCUAAAAGAAAAUAAAUAUUUUUAAGUAAUCAUUAGAUUAAAAAUUUGGGGCGUUAUAUUGUGGUAUCAGAGCGCUAAUUCUCGGGUCUUGUGGGGUGGAUGUGUUGUGUAUGUUGCAUUUAUUGUGAUGUUGCUUGUGUUAUUUGUUUGGUUUUUGAAUUUUUGAAUUUUAAUAAUUGCUUCAAAUUAUAAUUAUAUGUCAUUAAUUGAAUUUGAAUUUUAUUAAUUAUUUAAAUAUCUAUUAUGUGUCAUUAAUUGUGUAACCUCACUGAAUUUGAAUUUUACUAAUUACUUAGAUUCAUAUUAUGUGCCUUUCAUUAUGUUAAUUGUUUGGUUUUCUAAUAAUUGAAUUUUAUUAAUUAUUUAAAUUCCUAUUAUGUGUCAUUAAUUGUGUAACCUUCAUAAUUUUUGUCAUUAAAUAUAUGUCUUAAAUAUUUGAUUUAAUGGUGUUAUUUUAUUGUGUAUUUAGUUGUUUUCAAAUAAAUCUCUAUGUCUACUUACAUAUUUUUCUUAGCAUUGUUUUUUUAUAUUAUUUAGAAAUCUUAUAUUUAUUUUAAUAGAUUUUACUAUCUUUUUAUGAAUUUUUUUUCUUAUUUAUCGUAUGACUAUUUUGUUUUAAUAAUCUUAGACUCUCUACUUCUUGCUCAUGUUAAAUGUUUUGUGAUCUAGCUAUGACUUGGCUUAAUUAGUCUUGUUAAUAAUAAUCAUGAAUAUUACAAAAUAAUUUCGUCUUCUAUUUGAUACAAAUGAGUAUUAUUAUGUUAUAAAAUAUAGUGCUACAUGUUAUUGUUGUUAUCAUUGUCUCUUUUAUAUUAUUUUUAUGAAACUAUAAAUUUUAAUUCGCUUGAAUUGCAAAUAUUUUAAAAAGAAUAUCAUUUAAUUCAAUGUGAUUAUCAGUGUUAUUAAUAAAUUUUCCUUUUAAUUUACUUAAUUAAAAUAUUUUUUUAUAUUCAAAAGGUAUUUAAUAAACUAAUUUGAUUUUGAUUUUAUUUCUUAAAUUAGUUUUCUUAAGACAAAUUUAAUGUAGUUACAUUUUCUUUUGAAUUUAUAUACAUAUACAAUAUUUUCCUUAUUUUAUGAAUGUUGUUUACACACUAUAAGAUGAAGAGUUAAGAUAAUAUGUUAUUGUAAUUAUUUUACAUUAAUAUUAUUAUUAUUAUUAUUGUUAUUAUUAUUAUUUCUAUUAUUUUUAUUAUUUGUUAACAUUUAGAUUUUUAUUUUAUGUUAAAAGUUAUAUAAAAAAAAAGGACUAAGAAUGAUUUUCCCUUGUCAACAAUCAUUGAAUAUUUUUAUUACUAUAAAUUGAAUUUUGUCUAGUUACUUAAAUUAAAAUAUGUUUCCAGCAUUUAUUAUUAUAAUCUAAAGGCCGCAAAUUUUAAUUGUAAAACUAUGUUUUUUUUUUAAUUUUUAAUUUUACCAUAUUAUUAAUUUUAAAAGACUGGUUGGAUUAAAAAGAGUUAUCAGGGUUGAAAUGAAUGGAAGAUGUGACGAUGCCUUCGUGCUCUACAAAUGUACUAAAAUUUUUUUAACAGUCUUAAUUUAAAGAAAAAUUAAUAUGAUUAUUACUAAAUGAGUAGGAGAGAUUAAUCACCCUAGUGACUUAAUUUGGAUGAAGACAAUAACAAUAAUUCUUUUUUACUAUCCUCGAGAAUUUAUUUUACUUAUUAAAAAGUCUAUCAAGAUUUAUUUUAUUUUGCAUUAUCUUUAUUAGAUAAAUUACAAUAUGUGUGUACUAUAAAUAAUGAUAAAUGUAUUGAAUUUAUGGAAUUUAACAAAAUUAAAUAGGCGAGUUUUAUGAAUAUGAUGAUUUUAUUUGAAUUUCAAUCAUUUUUAAUUUCAUUAAUAAAAUUUAAGUGUUAUAUUAUUAAUUAUUAUUGUAAUGAUUUAUUAUUAUUAUUAUUAUUAUUAUUAUUAUUAUUAUUAUUAUUAUUAUUAUUAUUCAUUAUUAUCAAUGAAUUUUGCAUAUUAGUAUUGCAUUGUAAAAUUCUAUUGUAUAAUAAGUAAAUAAAUAAAGCCAAUUAAAUCAAUUUCUUUAUAGAAAUGAUUUUUUAUCAAAGGAUAUAUGAUAUCCCUCUUGUUCUAUUUUUAAAAUUUUAAAAUAUGUUAUCAGCAAAUAAUUCUAAAUUUACUCUAUUUUAAUAAAUGACAUUCUCAAUGUUAUCUCUUUUAUUUUUCUUUUUGUGUUCAUUGAUUUGUUUUAACUAGUUCACGUGUUUAACAUGUAACUUUUAUACAACUCAAGUUUUUAUAUUUUAGUCGAAUUAUUGUUAAUCAAGAAAUUUUUGUAACACUAAUGGGGAUUCAAAAGAAUUUUAUUUGAUUUAUUAAGAAAUGUGUCAAUAUGUGUAUGCAACUUGUCAAUUUGUUUUUCCUUUUAGUUUCGAGGACAAAACUAUUUUUAAGGGGUAAGUAUUGUAACACCCCAAUAUUUUCAUAUGUAUUAUAUAUAUGUCUUUUAGUAAUUUUGGUAAUUUAUUAUUUAAUUAAUAAUUUAUUCUAUAUGUAAAGAAAUUAAAUUAAAAUUUAGGCUAAAUUACAUCUGUGGUCUCUUAUCUUAAUUUCAGGUAAUGUUUUAGUCCUUUAUCUUUUUUUCCCGACUUGGUCCUUUAUUUUAAUUUUAAGUGACAAUUUGAUAUUUUAUGUUUUAAAAUUUCAACAAUGUUAUCCUUUUUUAUACAAAAAUUCAAAAAAAAAAAUUCAAACAAAACUGACAAAAUUAAUUAUAUUCUUCAAUAUAAUACAAAUUUCAUCAAAUUCGUAACGCAAAUCUUCAAAUAAACUUAUAUUUUCAUACUUUAUUUGAUAUUGUUAGGAAUAAAGGACUAAAUCGGGGAAAAAAAGAUAAAGGACUAAAUCGUUAACUGAAAUUAAGUUAAGGGACUACAGGUGAUAUUUAGCCUAAAAUUUACUACUCUCUAUUGUACUUGAAUAGUUAUAAUCUUUAUUUUUAUUUAAUUGUUUUGGUGUGACAAUUACAUUUGAACGGUUUAUGACAUAAUUAUUUCCUACGUGAACAACUGUAUAUUUUGUUUAUUUGAUUAGUUUCGAUAAUCAUAAAAUUGAUGUGUUAGAUACGUUGACUUUAUUUUGUUAUGUGUGACCUGCAAUUAGGGGUGGGAAUAGGUCAGGUCAGACCAGACUUUGAAAGGUCUGAGUCUAGCCUACGAUUUAUUUUUUAGGACUAAGCUUGGCCUACUGUCUAUCAUAGACUUUUUUUUCGGGCUGGUCUGGCCUUUUUAAAAGUAUGGCUUGGCCUGAAAGCCAAUUUAAAAGUCUUAUUCACAUUAAAAUAUUUAAAUGCUCUACUCAUACCACAUGAUGCUCUCCACAUACCAAUAUCAAUGUACAUAUCUAUAUAUAUUAAACAAAAAAUAAUUUUUCUAACCAAAUAAUUUUUUAAAAAUCUGAAACAAACAUCCUUUAAACCUUAAAUGUGUGUCAUAUAAUAGAUUUUUUUCUUCUGAAACAUACACACUCAUUAUUACCUAUUAAACAAAUAUGGAACAACUACUAAAUAUGGAAUGCUCACUCAAUGAUUGUCCAAUUGAUAGAAUUUAAAAUAGGAAAUAAUAUUAUUAAUAUAAUAAUAAAUAAUAUUAAUAAAUAAUAUAUAUAUAUAUAUAUAUAUAUAUAUAUANNNNNNNNNNNNNNNNNNNNNNNNNNNNNNNNNNNNNNNNNNNNNNNNNNNNNNNNNNNNNNNNNUAUAUAUAUGACGGUCUGUCAGGGCUAAUAGGUUUUUUUAUAAGCAUAAGCUUGACCUAUUUAAAUAAAUAGGCUUUUAAAAACAGCAUGAGCCUAUCAUUUUUAUUAAAUAGGCCAAGUCAGACCAUAAGUAGGCCAGACCAUAGGCCCCUGACGGACGGUCUAGCCUAUUCUCAUCCCUACCUGCAGUGAUAUUUUUGUCUUACUUGAUUUAUUUUAGUUGAUGAAAACAAUAGUUGAAUUAUUUAAUUAAAUUAUAAUUUAUAGAAGUUAUAUUGUUUAUUAGUUUUAUUUUAAACCAAAUAAAUAUUCGACCUAUGAGAUAGUAGAGUUGGUGAAAAUUCUUAGUUUUAUUUAUAAAUUCUAUUUAAUUAAUUUAGUGUGACAAUAAUAAGAUAAUUGUUCCUUUCAUGUUUAAUUAUUUGAUGAAAUAUAUUUAUAUAAAUUAAUUAAUUGUUGGAGUUUAGUUAGUAAUUAAGUAAAACUCGUAGGAGUAUUUUUUUUUUUUUAGAGUGAACAAUGACCAAGUCAAUUUUGAUCAAAAUUUAAUCACCCACACUACUACUCUUGAUAGCUAUAUUUUAGGUUUGAGAAAUGUUACUUAAACACAAUUUUAAACACAAAUACAAACACAACUACCGUACACAUAUACAAUGUAUAUUAUACACACUUAUACUCUCUCUUUAUUAAUUAAUAAUAAAAUUAAAUUAAACAAACAAACACCACAAACUCUCUCUUUUCCUUUACAUCUUCAUCGAUCUUCUUCCUCUCUCAUUCUCUCUUCCUUUUGGAUCAAUCAGCUAACUCUUGUGUUGACCUAGAUUUUGUUUUUCACCUGUAUUUCUUACACAUUGCUCUCCAUAUCUACACUUCUUAGAUUUAUAUUUGAAUUUUUUAAAUAGAUUUUUAUUUUAUUUUAGUUCUUUUGUUAUUUUCUUAGCUGUUUACUCUUGUUGUUCUUGACUCAUACAACGGUUUUCUUGGCUCAUACACGGUUUUCUAGGUAUUUUUGGGUAUUUCUUUUUCUAGUUAAUAGUGUAAACAUUAUUGGUUAAUAAAGUACAAUAUGUGGUUAAUGCAUUAUUUUUGUCUAAAAGUUAGGGUUGCGAAUUGUUAAUUCAUGUUAAUUAUUUAUGUCUAAAUAUUAAGUUUCAUCAUUCUUAUUGUUAUUGAUAGGUCUAACACAUUUCAUAUUUUGUUAUUAAUUUCAUAUUUUGUUAUUAAUGGUGUGCUAAUUAUAGGUCUUUCGGAUUUUGUUUCUGGUAAAUAGUGUAUUUGUGUUCGUAUUUGUGUUUGUAUUUGUGUUUAAAUUUAUGUUCAAAUAUCAUUGCUUUUAUUUUUAAUAGCAUUUAGUUAUAGAACCGUGUGUUUUCUACUUUACAUCAACUCAAAUAUGUAACAAGCAAGAAUAAGUACAUGAAUGCCAAUUAAUUCAUAACGGUUGGUCAUUGAAUGAUAUUAUUCCAAUUGAAUACCUUAUUGAUGUGUGCAAUUAACCUUAAUGAGAAGAAUUAUUUUCUUCCUCUAAUCAACUUCACGUCUCCAUAUUUGUCUCAUACACCUCUUCCUCAUAGAAUACGAUAAAACUUGCAAUAGAGUAGAAAGAAGUCCUAAUCACCCAUACCUCACACGCCAUUCCCAACAUUAUAUUUUGUUUAUCUCAAAUAUUUUUUUGAGUCACUCAAACAUCCACCCACAUAUUCCCUCUCUUUCUUGUGGAAGUUCUAAGCUUUCGUUUCUUCAUCUUUAUGAGAUUUUUCUAGGGCUAUAUAGUGUUACGUGGAAGGAAAGCGUUGAAGGUAAGGGUUUUUUCCGUAUGAAGAGUUAGGCUAGAUAUUAAAUUAGAGGUUCGUAGGAUAUUGAUAUGAUGUUUGGAUGUCUUAAAAUAGAAAAGUUGAUUUUAUUUUCGUCGUAAAGAAAUUAACUAAAUGUUUUGAUUGUUUCUUUUGAGUAAUACAUCUAUCUUGAUGAACUUAAUUAUAGAAUUCUAUUUUUAUUAUUAUCCCUUGAUAAAUAUAUUUGUAGUGAAAAUGUUUAACGUCUUAUGUGUUUAGAGUACUUAAUUAUAAAGUUAUAAUUAAUAUGAUGAUAUCAUUAGUAAUAUGUUUGUUGUGAUGUAUUUGAUAUUAAGUCUUGACUUUUUGAGUAUUUUAAAUUCAGCAUUUGACUUUUAGGAACAAUAUAUGUGUCAUGAGGAAAUUGAUGAGAAUUUUAUAUUUUUAAUUUUGACAAUAUGAGAAAAUUGAUUAUUUAAAUGUAUUAAUGUAUAGUUCAUUUUUAUAAUGCGGAAAAUUUUAUAGUGAAAGGAAUAAAAUUUCUAUUGUUAUUGUAUUCUUGGUAAUAUGAGUUUUAAUUUUUAUCAAUAACAAGUAAUCAAAUCGAAUCUUAUGAAUUAUUAAAAUGAAAGUGGUGAUUUUGAGAUAUUUGUUCACGUGUAUAUUUGAUGUGUUGAAAUUAGUGAGCUCUAACUAUGAACACCCAUGAGAAUAUAAAUUUGAUGUCUUAUGUGAUUAAAAAUUUUAAUCUUAAAUAUUUUGUCUUUGUGGUUGCUUAAGUGGCUGAUGAUUUGUCUUUUAAAUAUUAUUAUCUUUGUGGUUGCCUAAGUGGCUAGUGAUUUGUGUUUGUUACCUUUGUGGUUGUCUAAGUGGCUGGUGAUUUGUGUUUUAAAUAUUGUUAUAUUUGUAGUUGUCUAAGUGUCUGAUGAUUUGUGUGAUUAUCUAAGUAGGUGGUGACAUGUACCUUUUUUGCAUCAUUAUCAUUUCAUGACAUAUCAUAUGUAUCUUUGUAGACGCUUGUGUGGCUGGUUUAAUUUUUCUCAUUGGUAUGGGUGACUUCUGUGUGGACGCAUGUGUGACUGGUUAUAUCCGGAUCAUAUAUAUUUAGGAGCAUGCAUCACUUGCAUACAUUUUAUUGUUAUUUUUAUUUUGAUCUAAUUAUUUGCUCUACGAUUGCUACUUGAUUUAUUUAGAUACAUUUUAUAACUUUUGAUACAUCUUUGAGAACUAUUAAAAAAAUCAAUUUCUUUAAAUCUUUUAUUACGAAAAGAUUUUUUAUUCAUAUUUUAUGGUUAUUAGUUUAUUAUUUGGUUUAAUUUUUGUUGUGGGAAGAACUGACCCCUUACACCAUCAUUUAGGUACUAAUGAUUUCAAAGAGUUGCACGAAUGAUGUUUGCUUGGUGCAUGUGGGGAAAAUACGAAUUUUACUUAAAAAUAAUGUUUUAUAUUGCAGUACAUUGUAAAGUUAUUUACUCUUCAUCAUUAACUUUUAAUAGAAAUGCGGUAGUGAGAUUUUAUUCGCUAGUAAAAUCUCUCAAACCAAUGCUAAAUCAUUAACUUUGUAUCAACAUCUCAUCUAGUUAUACCAUAUUCAUGGAGAACAAUGCUAAAUCUCUCAAACCAAGCACGAGAAGGUUGUUUCAAACCAUAAAGAGAUCGGUGUAACUGACACACCAAGUGAAAAGCACCGCUAAUAAUGAAGUCUGGUGGUUGUGCCAUGUACUCCUCCUCUUGUAACUAAACAUGUAGAAAUGCAUUUUUAUAUGUCCUUUUUUUAUGUAAAGAAAAAUGAUGAAUAGAAACAAUGGCAAGAAAGAGGCAAACAUAUGCAAUCUUGGAAACUAGAGAGUGUUAGAACCAAGUUGAUUUGAAUAAAUAAGCCCCUCACAUGUUUUGAUGAUAAAAAAAAUCAUUUGUGAGAACAAUUUCAUGCUUUAACGCUGUAUUUAACUGUGCAGGUUUGAAUUCAUAUGCUCGGUCAAUGGACAAUCAGUGUAUCCUCUGAUAUAUAGACAAAGACAAAGAUACAACAUGUAUUGCCCUCUCUUUGCUAAGUCUGUUGCACACAUAAGCAUUGCGUUGCAGUGUCUGUGAUAGCACAAAGCAUUGUCGCAACUCUUUUACCUCUGAUGAACUCAAAAGUGAAUUUUGAUAGUCUGCCUCAACCUCUAAUAAGCGUGACAAGAAUUUUUCUGUCUCUGCCUCUGAUAAAGAUGACAAUAGUUCUUCUUCCUCAGCCUAUGAUAAGUGUGACAAGAAUUCUUUUGCCUCUGUCUUUCACAAUCAUAUCAAGUGUUUAAUCGUCUGACCUUGAAGUUCCAUCCUUUGCAAAGUCAACGCUCUAAGAGAGUCAAUGCUUUGAAUACAAAUCAAUUUACAUAUCCUCUGAUAUAUAUCCUAAAUCAACUACUUCUCUAAAUAUCUCAAGACAUUAGUUGAUCAUCUUUCCCUUUGCUAAAGUACAAUAGCCAAAUCAUUCCACAAGUAUUAGUAUUUUCUGGAAAGUCUCUCUAUCAAAUCAUUCCACAAAGAUACGAUGAGAAACUUCAUCGAUUAUCCUGAUUUUCUGCAAUUUGUACAACAGUCUGAAACCCUUAUUGUUAUUUAUAAAGGACGUGCCUCCAUCAACAAAGAAAUAGACAACAACGGACAUUACACUGCAUACAAGCAACUAGUGAUAAUCACCUUUGUACUAUUAUUCUCAUCAUGUUAAUGCUAAGAGAAUUUUUCUAAAGCAAAUAUUAUAAACACUCUCUACAAGGACUUAUUCAGUUAAACCCCGAAACAUCUUUGUUGUAACCUAGCCCAAUAGCAAUUGUCAUCCUCAACAACUUGAUUGAACUAAGUUAAUGUUGAGAAGAUUGAGCACAGUCAGUGUAACUAGUAGGCGUUCAAGUAUAAAUCUAAUUCAGUGGCACUUUAGUGGAUUAAAUCCUUCAAAUUGAAGGUACUAGACAUAGCUAUCCUAUUGCUGAUAAACUACGAUAAAUUGUUGUGUCUCUAUGCUUUGUUUUCACACAUGUUUUAUCUUAUUUACUUUGACUAUAGUCGCGCAAAAAGUUUUUUAAUAACCCAAUUGAUAGGUGUAAUGAGAACUAUUCUACAUCUAUUCUAAUUAAAGAUAAAAUUAGUUAAAUUUUUCCUUGCCUUUUUUAUUCGUUUACCUUUAAUUUAUAUAAGAAUGAUUGGUCAAUCAUUGUCUCCUAGAUUCUAGGGAAUAUAGUGUCAUUGUACUGACACAGCUAGAUGCUCAAUGACUAUAUAAAAAUGACGGCUAAAAACAAAAUAGACAAAUUACAAAUAUUUUCUAAGGAUAAUUGGGCCUAAGUAGCUCCAUUUGGUUCAUCCCUCAUCACACGCUUAGUGGAAGAAGUUCAAUUCGUCGAAGUGACUUUUUAUUUUGUAUUGGGUUAUGAACUUCUUAUGGAACAUCCCUCAUCACUUUGGAAGAAAUCUAGGUCUUAAGUUCUUUGUUUUCAAUCUACAUAAUCAAUAUAUUUCUAAUUUUUUGGGAUUUUGUGUAGAAAUUUGGGCCUCCACCCUUUUUUAGCCUUUCUAAUCAACAAAUCUCUUUUUAAAUGACGGUGGAUCAACACAUUUUUCUAUGUCUCGGUUAUCUAUGCUAAUACUUUCCAUAAUUUCUUUGGCCAAAGUCUUAUUUGCUAGACUUUCCAAAAACCAAUAAAUUCAUAUCUAUGUUUUGUUUGGUAAUGACAUUAUAAUUUUAUGUAAAGGGAUCAUGAAGUUAAUUCAAUAAAUUUAAUCGAUCUUUUAUGCCUAUCAAUUUUUAUCUUGCUAUUCCAAAGAAGAAUAUUUUUAUUAAUCAAAGUGAUUAUAUUGGUCAAUUUUACAAUUGUACUAAAAAAUUUGAAUUUGAUACCUUGAGGUAACAAUGCUAGCUCUUAUACCAUUGAGCUAGCACUUCAAUAAAUUAUUUGUGAGUUCAUAUUUUAAAAGAAAAAUUAAAGUUGAUUCAUAUAUAUGCAACCCAUUGCUAACAAAAUUAUCCAAACAUACCUUUUGGCAAGACUAUUUGCUUUAUAAGAUUGAUUAGAAAUUAUCCAAUAAGAUUGAUAAAAAAAAUACCCACCAUAGUCAUUAGGACCUAGAGUUGAGGAGUUGUUUAAAUUAAAGACAAAGAAACACAUCCCAAUGAGCAUGGCAUUAUGUGCUGCUUUAAUUAAUAAUUUUUUAUAAAAUCUAUAUAUAAAACCCUCAAUUUUAAAUUUCAAAUAACUUAAAAUGUACUAAAAAUAUUGAUAAUUUAAAUAUAUUUAUUAUUUAUAUUUAACCGAAGAGUUUUGUAUCAGGUGUCACCGUGAUGUAAAUUUGAUCUAUUGUAAUUCAAAUUCAAUUUUAAAAUAUAUAAUUUCUAAAUUGUAGUAAAUGAUAAGUAAAGUUAUAUAAUUGAAAACAUUUAAACAUUCAUCUCUCAAUGUAAAAUACAAUAUAUUCCUAAUAGUGUUUAAAACAAUUAUUAAAAUCUUUUAAUUCUUUUUUUUACUUAAAUAAUUAAUUUAAUAUUUAAAUUAAGGAUAAUUUAUAUCAGGAUACUUAUAGAUGUUACGACAUAAGAGACAAAUAUUAAUUUUUUCAUUAAACAGAGUUAUUUUAAAAAAAAUAAAUAAAAAUAAGACUACAUAAAAAUGAUUGUAUAACAUGGAAAUACCUAAAGUUAUAAUAUAUUAUUUUACUAUUUUUAUUCUCCAAUCUAAAUAAAUUUCAAUGAAAAAUAUAUUGGUAAAGUUACACACCAAGGGUAUUAUUCUCUAGAUCAAGUUGCCUCCCUUCCAUAACAUUAGGAUUCCAAGGAAAGCAUUCUUCAUAAUUCGGUUUUUCCAAACAAGGUCCUGAUUUAUAUACUUUCCAACUACAGUCGUAUUUGCAUUUAUGUGUAUCUCUGGAUUCAACAUAAAUAUCAAAGUAGUGAAAUUCAUUCAUCCAUGAAAAUCCACAAAAAUAUAAGGUGUUCUCUAACAAAAACUUAGGCCUAAAAGAGAAGGUGAAAGUUU
rnacentral:lncRNA from 1 species